AGAAACUUAGGUUCACUUAAACCGAAGGCCUUCAAAGCCUUAAACAGGAGUUAAACCCUCUUAGUUUCUG
rnacentral:tRNA from 1 species